rnacentral:rRNA from 1 species
UACUGAGUUUAGGGUCUCUUUUAGAGCCCGAAUCUCCAACCCUUUGUUAAAAACACUUUGUUGCUUUGGCAGGCCCGUCCUAUCCCUUCACCGGGAGACGACCGCCGGGGGCGUUUAGUCACCUCUGGUCAGUGCUUGCCGAUAGCCUAUUAAAAAUUCUUUAUUAAAUAAUGUCUGAAAAAUUAUAACUAAAUAUAAUUAAAACUUUUAACAACGGAUCUCUUGGUUCUGGCAUCCAUGAAAAACGCAACCAAAUGCCAUAAAUAAUGUGAAUACAAAUGACCCCAGAUGCAGCGAGUUUAUACAGCAUACAUCGAAAGGUUUUUGUGGCCCGGCCUUAACGAGAAGCAAUUCUCAAUUUUUUACAGGUUGACCUCGGAUCAGGUAGGAAUACCCGAUGAACUUAAGCAUAUCAAUAAGCGGAGGAAAAGAAACCAACAGGGAUUGCCUCAGUAACGGCGAGUGAAGCGGCAAUAGCUCAAAUUUGAAAUCUGGCUCUUCGAGUCCGAGUUGUAAUUUGUAGAGGAUGUUUCGGGUGCGCCCGCAGUUUAAGUUCCUUGGAACAGGACGUCAUAGAGGGUGAGAAUCCCGUCUUGAACUGUACGGCAAGUCCAUGUGAAACUCCUUCGACGAGUCGAGUUGUUUGGGAAUGCAGCUCAAAAUGGGAGGUAAAUUUCUUCUAAAGCUAAAUAUUGGCCAGAGACCGAUAGCGCACAAGUAGAGUGAUCGAAAGAUGAAAAGCACUUUGAAAAGAGAGUUAAACAGUAUGUGAAAUUGUUAAAAGGGAAGCGUUUGCAACCAGACUUGUUUCUAACAGUUCUACCGCAGUUCUCUGUGGCUUAUUCUGUUAGUCCAGGCCAGCAUCAGUUUGGGUGGCUCGUUAAAGGCCUUGGGAAUGUAUCUACUCCUUCGGGUGUAGACUUAUAGCCCUCGGUGUAAUAGGGUCUACCUGGACUGAGGUACGCGC